rnacentral:lncRNA from 1 species
GCAAGAAUUCAAAGAAGAAAAAGUAUCAUAAAAGGACUUGAUAUUUGGUGGCACAAAUCUCCUUUGCAUAGGCUACAGAUAUCAAGUGGACAAACAAAGGAAAAACUACACGGAAGAGGAGGAUCGUUUUCUGAUCUGUAGGCUUCUUUAGCUUGGCCAUUCCAAGGCAGGUGUGUGUGAGGAAUUGCCGCAGUGUAUUCACGGCUCUCCUCGUGGUGAGUGCUCAGGGCUUUCAUUUCGUGUUGCCCAGUUCAGAAUGAGGGCUGUUUGACUUUUCUGUCUUUGUGUUUUGAUGAUGGUGGCGAUUGAACUCAGGGCUUUGUAUGUGCUAGGCCAGCACUCUGCCCCUGAGCUACUUC